rnacentral:rRNA from 1 species
AAAAGCUCGUAGUCGGAUUUUGGGCGCGUGUGAACUGUCAGCCUCUGGUUGGACGGUGCGCGUGUGCCUUUCUGCUUGGGAGCCCCAUGGUGGUUAAUUCUGUCGUGGUGGGUCACAGGCCGUUUACUUUGAAAAAAUUAGAGUGUUCAAAGCAGGCUGUUGCUUGAAUAGAUUAGCAUGGAAUAAUGGAAUAGGACCUUGGUGCUAUUUCGUUGGUUAUGGGACUGGGGUAAUGAUUAAUAGGGACAGUUGGGGCCGUUCAUAUUUCGUUGUCAGAGGUGAAAUUCUUGGAUUUACGAACGAUGAACUUGUGCGAAAGCAUUCGGCAAGGAUGUUUUCAUUGAUCAAGAACGAAAGUUAGGGGAUCGAAGACGAUCAGAUACCGUCGUAGUCUUAACCAUAAACUAUGCCAACUAGGGAUCAUUGAGUGUCAAUUUACGACCUCAUUGGCACCUUGUGAGAAAUCAAAGUUUUUGGGUUCCGGGGGGAGUAUGGUCGCAAGGCUGAAACUUAAAGGAAUUGACGGAAGGGCACCACCAGGAGUGGAGCCUGCGGCUUAAUUUGACUCAACACGGGGAAACUUACCAGGUCCAGACAUAGUCAGGAUGGACAGAUUGAGAGCUCUUUCUUGAUUCUAUGGGUAGUGGUGCAUGGCCGUUCUUAGUUGGUGGAGUGAUUUGUCUGGUUAAUUCCGAUAACGAACGAGACCUUAACCUGCUAA